rnacentral:rRNA from 1 species
GAUGAACGCUGGCGGCGUGCCUAAUACAUGCAAGUCGAGCGAACGGACGAGAAGCUUGCUUCUCUGAUGUUAGCGGCGGACGGGUGAGUAACACGUGGACAACCUACCUAUAAGACUGGGAUAACUUCGGGAAAGCGGAGCUAAUACCGGAUAAUAUUUUGAACCGCAUGGUUCAAAAGUGAAAGACGGUCUUGCUGACACUUAUAGAUGGAUCCUCGCUGCAUUAGCUAGUUGGUAAGGUAACGGCUUACCAAGGCAACGAUGCAUAGCCGACCUGAGAGGGUGAUCAGCCACACUGGAACUGAGACACGGUCCAGACUCCUACGGGAGGCAGCAGUAGGGAAUCUUCCGCAAUGGGCGAAAGCCUGACGGAGCAACGCCGCGUGAGUGAUGAAGGUCUUCGGAUCGUAAAACUCUGUUAUUAGGGAAGAACAGAUGUGUAAGUAACUGUGCACAUCUUGACGGUACCUAAUCAGAAAGCCACGGCUAACUACGUG